rnacentral:rRNA from 1 species
GCAUUUUGCUGGAGUGUCCACUUCUUAGAGGGACUUAUCGGUUUCCAAGCCGAUGGAAGUUUGAGGCAAUAACAGGUCUGUGAUGCCCUUAGACGUUCUGGGCCGCACGCGCGCUACACUGACGGAGCCAGCGAGUCUAACCUAGGCCGAGAGGUCUUGGUAAUCUUGUGAAACUCCGUCGUGCUGGGGAUAGAGCAUUGUAAUUGUUGCUCUUCAACGAGGAAUUCCUAGUAAGCGCAAGUCAUCAGCUUGCGUUGAUUACGUCCCUGCCCUUUGUACACACCGCCCGUCGCUAGUACCGAUUGAAUGG